UUAGAUGACUUAUUCUUAACCAAGACUCUUCCUAACAAGAUAUAUUUGUUAGAAAAACAUUUUAGUUUUAAAAUGGACCCAAGAAAGUAUUUGGAAGACAAUUUAACUGAUUUUAGUAUAAUUGUUAAAAGUCUAGCACACAAUGAUAAAAAAUUUAAAGAUGAGGACUUGGCUGUUACUCUAUCGAAUUCAUUGCCUGAAUCUUAUAAAGAUGUCAAGAAUGCCAUAAAGUAUGCUAGGGACAUAUUUACACAAGCAAUUCUGAUAGAUGCUUUAAGGUCAAGAGAGCUAGGUGUGAGAAGAGAGAAUAGAACCAACUUAAGAGAAAAUCCAUUUGUAAGGGGAAGAAUUGAAAAGAAAGAAUUUAAUUUCCAAACCAAGAAGGAAAGGGAGAGAUCUAAAACUAGAUCCAAAUCUAAAGAUAGAAGUAGUAAGAAAUGUUAUAAUUGUGGGAAGCUGGGACACUUCAAGAGAGAAUGUUUUGACUGGAAAAAGAAACAAAAAAAUUAGAACAAAAAUGAUUAGAAUAAUGCAGCCAUAGUGUCUGAAUUGGACAGCCUACAUGUACUAAAUUGUCAACUGAAAACUCUAGUAAAGAUUGGAUUCUAAAUACUGGAUGUACCUUUCAUAUGUGUUCUGAAAGAUCAUGGUUUUAUAAUUACAAGGAAAUAGAACUAGGAAAAGUAUAUAUGGGAGAUAAUAAUUCCCAGACUGUGAUUGACACCGGUGACAUUGCCAUAAAAAUUCUUGAUGGCAUUGUCAGGCCAAUAGAAAAUGUGAGGUAUGUCCCAAAUUUGAAAAGGAACCUUAUUUCAUUAUAAAUCCUAGAAGAUGAGGGAUAUACACUCAGAUCUGAUAAUGAAAUUUUGAAAGUAAUGAAGGGUUCUUUUAUAGUGAUGAAAGGACAAAAAAGAAAUGGUUUAUACUAUCUAGAUGGAAAAAUAGUUAUAUCACCCGAUUCAAGUGUAUUAACUGUAAGUGAAAAUAAAUAUAGUCUUUGGCAUAAUAGA
rnacentral:lncRNA from 1 species